rnacentral:misc_RNA from 1 species
AACCUAGCACACCUGCGGUGUGUACCUGCGGAGGGAUCAUUACCGAGUUUACAACUCCCAAACCCCUGUGAACAUACCACUUGUUGCCUCGGCGGAUCAGCCCGCUCCCGGUAAAACGGGACGGCCCGCCAGAGGACCCCUAAACUCUGUUUCUAUAUGUAACUUCUGAGUAAAACCAUAAAUAAAUCAAAACUUUUAACAAUGGAUCU